rnacentral:rRNA from 1 species
UACGAAGGGUGCUAGCGUUGUUCGGAAUUACUGGGCGUAAAGCGCGCGUAGGCGGUAAUGCAAGUCAGAGGUGAAAUCCCGGAGCUUAACUCCGGAACUGCCUUUGAAACUGCAUUGCUGGAGUGUGUGAGGGGAUAGCGGAAUUCCUAAUGUAGAGGUGAAAUUCGUAGAUAUUAGGAGGAACACCGGUGGCGAAGGCGGCUAUCUGCACACAACUGAC